GCCUCUGUGGAUUAGUGUUAGAUCACCUCAAUUAUCUGGAAGGUGAUGAAAUUCACAGAAGGUAUUGAGGAAGUGUGGGUUCGAAUCCCACCAGAUACA